rnacentral:rRNA from 1 species
CCUACGGGAGGCUGCAGUGGGGAAUAUUGCACAAUGGGGGAAACCCUGCUGCAGCGACGCCGCGUGCGUGCGGAAGUAUUUCGGUAUGUAACGCUCUAUCAGCAGGGAAUAAAAUGACGGUACCUGACUCAGAAGCCCCGGCUAACUACGUGCCAGCAGCCGCGGGAAUACGUAGGUGGCAAGCGAUAUCCGGAUUUACUGGGUGUAAAGGGAGAGUAGACGGUUAAUCAAGUCAGAAGUGAAAACCCAGGGCUCAACCUUGGGACUGCUUUUGAAACUGAGGAGCUAGAGUGCAGGAGAGGUAAGCGGAAUUCCUAGUGGAGCGGUGAAAUGCGUAGAUAUUAGGAGGAACACCAGUGGCGAAGGCGGCUUACUGGACUGUAACUGACGUUGAGGCUCGAAAGCGUGGGGAGCAAACAGGAUUAGAUACCCCGGUAGUC